AGGGUGCAAGCGUUAAUCGGAAUUACUGGGCGUAAAGCGCGCGUAGGUGGUUUGUUAAGUCAGAUGUGAAAUCCCCGGGCUCAACCUGGGAACUGCAGUUGAAACUGGCGAGCUAGAGUAGGGUAGAGGGGKGUGGAAUUCCAGGUGUACCGGUGAAAUGCGUAGAUAUAUGAAGGAACAUCAGUGGCGAAGGCGACCCCCUGGACUCAUACUGACACUGAGGUGCGAAAGCGUGGGGAGCAAACAGGAAUAGAUACCCUGGUAGUCCACGCCGUAAACGAUGUCUACUAGCCGUUGGGAUCCUUGAGCUCUUAGUGGCGCAGCUAACGCAAUAAGUUGACCGCCUGGGGAGUACGGCCGCAAGGUUAAAACUCAAAUGAAUUGACGGGGGCCCGCACAAGCGGUGGAGCAUGGGUUUAAUUCGACUCAACGCGAAGAACCUACCAGGUCCUGACACCAGAGAACUGCCAGGAGAUAGCUUCGUGCCUUCGGGAA
rnacentral:rRNA from 1 species